GGGUCAAGGAACUCUACUAGACUAGGUUAACCUUAGACUCUUUUAUCAGUUCGGACUUCUCAACCCAAGCAUGAUUUUUUUAUACCUUCUUUUUUUUUCUUAAAAGAUUGUUGUCCCACUAAAGACACAUCUUUAGAGGUGUGAAAGAACUCCCUCAAUAUUUGAAGAAUUUUUUUCCAUUGAGCAUCAUCAAAUUUACAACUAACUUUAUGUUCUUCUUUGCUCUCAAAAAUACCAC
rnacentral:lncRNA from 1 species